UUUUCCUCUAGGCACAGAAUAGAGGAAAAGAAUGCUGGGAAACUUCUGUCUCAUGCUUAUACUGGAAAGAGAAGGCAGGAAGCAAUAUGAUGCUAAUCACAUGCCAAGAAUCCUUUAGGGGAAGUGAGAGCUUUCCAGCCUGUGUUCCACAGGAAGGCAUCAUUACAUUGAUUGUUGGAUACGUUAGUCUGCAAUAUCUGCCGUGAUUACAGCACCUCUCCCCUGGACAGUGGGAGGGAGGUAAGAGGAAGCGGAGGACACACCGGGUAAAAAUCUAGAAGCCAAGCAUAUUACUUCUGGCUCACAGGCUUAUCUUUGUGUUGACAAGGAGAGACUGUACCAAGAGAGAAAAUGAUAGGAGAGGUAAGAGAAGAUCGAAACAAACGACAAUGGAGAGUCAAACAAUGCCUCUUAUCACUUCCAUAGGUCAUGAUGAAUUGCAGACAGACAGACAUUCCCAGCCAGUUCUCAUCCUGAAUGGUCCUCUUGGCUCCCCUUACCCUCCAGGGAGUGGGAAACAGAAAAUGAGAAGGUUUAGAAGUGUUCGAAAGGCAGAGUUAUCCAUUGACUUGUGCACAUGUAUUUUUGAGAUUUAUCGUCGUCAUUGCAUUUGCACAGAUUGGCGGCGGCACUUCUUCAGGGUAGACUAAUGUUUUCGCUUGUCGUGUUUGGCACAAAUUGGGUCUUUAGUGCUGAUUAUGGUCUAAUUCGCAAUUUGAAAAUAAUCCUGCCACCCAUCAGCGGCACGGCAGUAACUCCCGCAGCCUCCCUGGCUGCUUCCUGUUAGGAUCUGCAAGUGAAAGUCAUAUUUUCUGGCAGUCAGAAUUUCCACUUUACAUUUCCUAAUAGCAUUUUUCAUUAGACCUCUGCAAAAGAACCCUGGCACAGCCUGAGACUCAGGGACAGAAUGUGCACACCAAUGGCACUUCUCGCCAUUCCUGCCAUUUGUCCCUACAUGCACUCUGUUCAAAGCGUCGCCCUCAAAUGCCAUUCUGAAACCGCAACAACAAACCUUCUCUCAGAAUGCUUCGGCAGAGCAGCCGAGGUCGUGCCAGGAAGCAAUGCGCCAAAGCCCAAUUACUCCCCCAAUGGCUGAGCAUCCUGCACAGAACUACACAAUGUUCCAUCUUCCUCUCAGUGCAGACUGGGGCAUAUUUUUUAGCCUCUUGUUUCCUGCCAUUUCUAGAUGCUGAGAUUAUGUCACACACUAAACAGGGAAGGAGAUAGUAAGCGUAUGUCACUUACCUGGGCAAAGUUCCAUAGACAACCAGUACAUGCGAUUGCUUUGGCUGCUUUGUUUUGUGUGGCAUUGAGAAGCUGCUGGCACUAUUAGAGCUAAGGACCCCCCUGGGACUGGGCACUCAGAAGGACCUUAGGGACUAUUCAGGAGCAUCAGCAGGAGGACUGUGGGACACAAUUGGUUAUCCAGGGCUAUACAUUGAACCCCAGUUUCAGAAAAGCAGAAAAGAAUGACCAAUAGUCAACUUGUAUUCUUAGGUCAUCAUGCUACCUUGGUUGAGCAUCAACAGCCAUGGACCUAUAGAGGUAAUCUGAUUCAAAUCAUCUUUACUGUGUCAUUUCUUUUGAAGAAUGGCAGGUCCGCAGAUGGAAAGAUUAAGUGUGAGAUUAUUUCCUUUCUUGUCUUUCUCCAUUCACCAUCCAAAUCUGUCAAUGUCUGUAAUGAAUGAUUAGGGUGAGUAAGAACAGUGCCCAAUGAGCCCCCACGAAAUAAAGAACAGAGAGCCACGUGUUUUUCA